rnacentral:rRNA from 1 species
UGCCCUAGUAACGGCGAGUGAAGCGGCAACAGCUCAAAUUUGAAAUCUGGCUUCGGCCCGAGUUGUAAUUUGCAGAGGAUGUUUCUGGCGCGGUGCCUUCCGAGUUCCCUGGAACGGGACGCCACAGAGGGUGAGAGCCCCGUAUGGUUGGACACCAAGCCUGUGUGAAACUCCUUCGACGAGUCGAGUAGUUUGGGAAUGCUGCUCAAAAUGGGAGGUAAAUCUCUUCUAAAGCUAAAUACCGGCCAGAGACCGAUAGCGCACAAGUAGAGUGAUCGAAAGAUGAAAAGCACCUUGAAAAGGGGGUUAAACAGUACGUGAAAUUGUUGAAAGGGAAGCGCUUGUGACCAGACUUGCGCCGGGCGGUUCAUCCGGGGUUCUCCCCGGUGCACUCCGCCCGGCUCAGGCCAGCAUCGGUUUUCGUUGGGGGAUAAGAACGGCAGGAACGUGGCCCUCCUUCGGGUGGGUGUUAUAGCCUGCCGUACGAUACCCUGACGGGGACCGAGGUUCGCGCUCCGCAAGGAUGCUGGCGUAAUGGUCAUCAGCGACCCGUCUUGAAACACGGACCAAGGAGUCGUCCAUUAGAGCGAGCGUUUGGGUGUCAAACCCGCACGCGUAAUGAAAGUGAAAUUAGGUGAGAGCUUCGGCGCAUCAUCGACCGAUCCUGAUGUUCUCGGAUGGAUUUGAGUAAGAGUUUUAACGGACGGACCCGAAAGACAGUGAACUAUGCUUGUAUAGGGUGAAGCCAGAGGAAACUCUGGUGGAGGCUCGCAGCGGUUCUGACGUGCAAAUCGAUCGUCAAAUAUGAGCGGGGCGAAAGACUAAUCGA